UAAACGGACCAUCGAGUAUCCAUUGGAGGGCAAGUCUGGUGCCAGUAGCUGCGGUAAUACCAGCUCCAAUAGCGUAUAUUAAAGUUGUUGCAGUUAAAAAGCUCGUAGUUGGACUUGUGUGCGCUGUCCGCGGGUGGCCUGCGCCCGAAAGGGCGUUUCGGUUCGGCCCCGGUGGCGCCUUGAAAUCUGCAGCUGGGGGGACGUUGGCCUUAACUGGUCGGCGACCGCACGCCGGCUGCUCGGUUACUGUGAGAAAAUUAGAGUGUUCAAGGCAGGCAUUGGGUGCAAUUGAAUACAUUAGCAUGGAAUAAUAAAAUAUGGCUCCUGCCGUAUUUUGUUGGUUUUGACUGGUGGGAGUAAUGAUUGAUAGGGACGGUUGGGGGUGCUAGUAUUGAGCGGCCAGAGGUGAAAUUCAUGGAUUCGCUCAAGACUAACUUAUGCGAAAGCAUUCACCAAGGACGUCCUCUUUAAUCAAGUACGAAAGUUGGGGGAUCGAAGACGAUCAGAUACCGUCGUAGUCUCAACCAUAAACUAUGUCGACUUGGGAUCGGCGGUAGUUUUUUCAUUAAGACACUGUCGGGACCACGGGAGAAAUCAAAGUGUCUGGACUCUGGGGGAAGUAUGGUCGCAAGGCUGAAACUUGAAGGAAUUGACGGAAGGGCACCACCAGGAGUGGAGCCUGCGGCUUAAUUUGACCCAACACGGGGAAACUUACCAGGUCCAGAGAUGUAGAGGAUUGACAGAUUGAAGCUCUUUCUUGAUCACUUCGGUGGUGGUGCAUGGCCGUUCUUAGUUGGUGGAGUGAUUUGUCUGGUUAAUUCCGUUAACGAGCGAGACCUCAGCCUGCUAGUGUAGUCGGCUGGAUUGCCUUUGGCGAUCCGUGAUUUCGACUUCUUAGAGGGACAAUCGACGCGCAGUCGAUGGAAGUUUGAGGCAAUAACAGGUCUGUGAUGCCCUUAGAUGUUCUGGGCCGCACGCGCGCUACACUGCUGGGCUCAGCGAGUUUUACUUGGCCGAGAGGCCCGGUUAAUCUUGUGAAAUCCCAGCGUGCUUGGGCUCGCCUCCUGCAACUGGAGGCGCCAACGAGGAAUUCCUAGUAGACGCAGGUCAUCAACCUGCAUCGAUUACGUCCCUGCCCUUUGUACACACCGCCCGUCGUUCCAUAAGAGUGAGGCAUCCGGUGAAUUCUCGGGAGAGCCUGGGCGUGGCCAGCAAUGGUCUGCUCGGGUUUGAACUUGCAUAAACUUGGUGCCUAUGAUUAGGG
rnacentral:rRNA from 1 species